rnacentral:rRNA from 1 species
AGCAGUGGGNNAUAUUGCACAAUGGGCGGAAGCCUGAUGCAGCAACGCCGCGUGAGGGAUGACGGCCUUCGGGUUGUAAACCUCNUUUAGCAGGGAAGAAGCGAGAGUGACGGUACCUGCAGAAAAAGCGCCGGCUAACUACGUGCCAGCAGCCGCGGUAAUACGUAGGGCGCAAGCGUUAUCCGGAAUUAUUGGGCGUAAAGAGCUCGUAGGCGGUUUGUCGCGUCUGCUGUGAAAUCCCGAGGCUCAACCUCGGGCCUGCAGUGGGUACGGGCAGACUAGAGUGCGGUAGGGGAGAUUGGAAUUCCUGGUGUAGCGGUGGAAUGCGCAGAUAUCAGGAGGAACACCGAUGGCGAAGGCAGAUCUCUGGGCCGUAACUGACGCUGAGGAGCGAAAGGGUGGGGAGCAAACAGGCUUAGAUACCCUGGUAGUCCACCCCGUAAACGUUGGGAACUAGUUGUGGGGACCAUUCCACGGUUUCCGUGACGCAGCUAACGCAUUAAGUUCCCCGCCUGGGGAGUACGGCCGCAAGGCUAAAACUCAAAGGAAUUGACGGGGACCCGCACAAGCGGCGGAGCAUGCGGAUUAAUUCGAUGCAACGCGAAGAACCUUACCAAGGCUUGACAUAUACGAGAACGGGCCAGAAAUGGUCAACUCUUUGGACACUCGUAAACAGGUGGUGCAUGGUUGUCGUCAGCUCGUGUCGUGAGAUGUUGGGUUAAGUCCCGCAACGAGCGCAACCCUCGUUCUAUGUUACCAGCACGUAAUGGUGGGAACUCAUGGGAUACUGCCGGGGUCAACUCGGAGGA